CAGCAGCCGCGGGAAUACGAAGGGUGCAAGCGUUACUCGGAAUUGCUGGGCGUAAAGCGUGCGCAGGCGGUUUGUUAAGACAGAUGUGAAAUCCCCGGGCUCAACCUGGGAACUGCAUUUGUGACUGGCAAGCUAGAGUGUGGCAGAGGGGGGUGGAAUUCCGCGUGUAGCAGUGAAAUGCGUAGAUAUGCGGAGGAACACCGAUGGCGAAGGCAGCCCCCUGGGCCAACACUGACGCUCAUGCACGAAAGCGUGGGGAGCAAACAGGAUUAGAUACCCCGGUAGUCCCUGUCUCUUAUAC
rnacentral:rRNA from 1 species